GACGCGGUGUCGCAGUGGUUGGGUGUGCUUGACUUGAGAUCAAAAAGUCCAGAGUUCGAGUCCUUGCCACAGCU